CUAUUCAGAGGACGGAAUGAGAACAAGAAUCGCAAAUCAAGUACAAAAAUGGCAUCGAAGAUUUCCCUAAUGGCGGCGAAAAGGCAAGAGUGUAAAGAAGCCUGCGGUGGCGGCCCGAGGUGGAGUGUUGCGUAGUGGGUUAGCUACAGUUUUGAAGGAUGGUCCCUUGCAUAAAUACAGUUCAUAUGGAUUCAAGUUCAUUAGGUGAGGGUUGUGUUUGUGUAGUGGGUUACUACGGUUUUGAAGAACUAAUCCUCUGGAUAAAUACAGUUCAUAUGGAUUCAAGUUUGUUAAUUUUUAGCUUGUUUGCCAUUUCUCUUUUAGUUGUUGGGUAUCUUUCGCAGCCGCAUUCUACAAUUAUAUCUAUUAACUUCUUUAUGUUCUUUUCUCCUCUACAUUUGCAGUUUCAUCCAGGGAAGAAUGUGGGUCUUGGCAAGGAUCACACCCUUUUCUCUUAGAUAGAUGGCAUCAUCAAAUUUGAGAAGUUUGGGCCUGAUAAGAAAAAGCUAUAUAAAUAAUUGGUUAAUAAUUUUGCAGAGCGUAUAG
rnacentral:lncRNA from 1 species